GCCCCCUCCUCUCUCUCUCUCUCUCUGUGUGUCUCUGUCUCUGUAUAUGUGUCUGUGGAGAGAGAGAGAUGUACUUGCUUGUGCACAGAGAGUAGAGCAGCAACAUCCCAAAAUUGCACAUAGCUUUCUUCUAGUGAGUCCAACUAAAUUGAUUUUGUAGCUAUGUUUAGUUUUAUAGCCAUUUUAUAAUUCAGUGAGAUUUUAAAUUUAGGUCCUUUUAAAUAUGUUUCUGCGGUCAAGUUUACACAUGCAUGCAUGCAUGCACAUUUGCACACAUAGACACAU
rnacentral:lncRNA from 1 species